rnacentral:rRNA from 1 species
GAUGAACGCUGGCGGCGUGCUUAACACAUGCAAGUCGAACGGAAAGGCUCCUGCUUGCAGGGGUACUCGAGUGGCGAACGGGUGAGUAACACGUGGGUGAUCUGCCCUGCACUUCGGGAUAAGCCUGGGAAACUGGGUCUAAUACCGGAUAGGACGAUGGUUUGGAUGCCAUUGUGGAAAGUUUUUUCGGUGUGGGAUGAGCUCGCGGCCUAUCAGCUUGUUGGUGGGGUAAUGGCCUACCAAGGCGUCGACGGGUAGCCGGCCUGAGAGGGUGUACGGCCACAUUGGGACUGAGAUACGGCCCAGACUCCUACGGGAGGCUGCAGUGGGGAAUAUUGCACAAUGGGCGCAAGCCUGAUGCAGCGACGCCGCGUGGGGGAUGACGGCCUUCGGGUUGUAAACUCCUUUCGCUAGGGACGAAGCGCAAGUGACGGUACCUGGAGAAGAAGCACCGGCUAACUACGUG